CGAGAUUUAAUGUAGCCGGGGCUACAUUUGGAACAUCCCUCGUAAAUGACCGUACUGAAUAUAAAAAGUCUAUACAUAAGUGUUUUGUAUAAACUAAGAUAGAUUUAACAACUUGAAUUGUUACCAAUAAGAUAUAACCUAGACGGAUAUAUGUACAACCACAGAAUCAGAUAUAAAAUGUUUGCACAUUUCUGCUUCGUAGGAAUUGUUUUUUGUAUUAAGAAUGCGGCUUGUGAUUUAGGUAAUGUUGAGCCGGGUCAAUGUGUGUCGAGAUUUGAUUAUGAUUAUAAAGUGCUAGAGAAAUUAUCUCAGUUUGAAAGAGAAAUUAAGGAGCUAAAACAAAUGAAAAUGUUUGAAGAUAGUCAAAAGGUUGCGUUUAUGGCACAGCUAUCAGUUUCGCUCAUUAACCCGGCAGUGAAUACUGUAGUUGUUUUUGAUAGCGUCAGUACAAAUGCUGGAAAUGGAUACAAUUCUGGAUCAGGGAUGUUUGUCACCCCAGUGAAAGGCUUAUACAGCAUACAUCUAGUUGCAAGCUCAAGAUCAAAAGCAACAACUAAUUAUCUUCAUCUGUACAUUAUGCACAAUUCCUCUCAAGUUGGUUAUAUUUUCCUUGACCAGAAUUCCGACUACUCACUGAUGAGAUCAACCGCUAUCAUACUUCAACUUAGCAUUGGCGACACGGUGUUUGUUAAGAUCGGAAACAAAGGAGCAAGGGGUCACCUGGAAGGCUGUUGUUUCCAUACGGUUUUCAGUGGAUUUUUAAUCAACUGACAUCAAAUUCAUUAUAAGCAAUCAAACAGACUAUGUGUCAAUACAGACUGAAGUAUUCUGACAUAUUUUACAUAGUGCUGCUAUUUGGGGUACAAGAAAGUACAAAUGUAUUGAAGCAGUACAGAACCGGGCAAUGAGGUUUUUCUUAGGAACAGGCAGAUACACUCCAAAUGCUGCAGUUGCCGGGGAUAUGGGCUGGGAACCUAUCUUUAUUAAACAACUUAAAUGUGUGGCGAGUACUUGGUGUCGAUCUGCAAGUAUGAAUAGUAUGAGAAUAAAUUGUGAAGUAAAUAUGUACUGUUUUAAGCAGGCGGGUAGAACUUGUAAGAACUGGUAUUUUAGAGUAAAAGAAAUUUUUGAGAAAUAUAACUGUGGUGAAUUUUUUGUUCUUAAUAAUGUUUUAAAUAAAAAUUGUUUGCUUGAAAAGCUAACCAGCUCGUAUCUAGAUGAGUAUUUGGAUGAAUGGAUUGAGUCACUACAUACAAUAAAUAGUAGUUCUCGGCAAGGGGGAAAUAAAUUGGGGACUUACAGAACCUUUAAGUUUAGUUAUGAAACAGAAGCAUAUGUAACUGCUAUCCUGCCGAAUAAGCAUAGAGCAGCAUUUGCAAAGUUCCGAUGUGGGGUAGCCCCUAUUAGACUCGAAACGGGCAGAUAUGAAAGGUUAGCUUUGAACCAAAGAAUUUGUCCAAUCUGUAAAACUGGAAUUGAAGAUGAGAAACAUGUUAUUUUAUAUUGUCCAAGGUAUGAGGAUAUUAGGAAAGAUUUAUUUGCCAAAGCAGAAAAUGUAAAUGAUCAAUUUUUAAGGCUGUCUGAUGACAAUAAAUUGUCGUUCAUUUUUUCCAAUACUGAAAUUGUAAAGUGUGCUGCAAAAUCCUGUUUCAAUAUUCUUAAAAGUAGAACUAACUGGUUAUAUUCCUGACAACUGUCUCUUAUAAUGUUAUUGUAAAUUGCUAAACUUUUUAUCCAACAAACUGAGAGUCUUACAUUAUAUUAUUGAGAAAUUGUACUAAUCAGGGUAUUUAUAAGCCUGAUUUUAUGGUUAGUAAUAUUUUAAUACUUUUAAUCAUUAGACAAGGGUAAUUGUAAACUCUCGAGGUCUCUUGAAAUGGUAAACAUACUCAUAGUUAAUAAUUAGUAACUGAUCGUUUUUAUUUUAUUUUUAGGCAAAGACAUUAUAUGUACAGUCACUUAAAUGUGAAUAAUGUUUUAUUUUACUUGUAUAGGUUUUUAUCUUUCCAAUGAUGCGAAAUAAUUUUAUUUACAUGAUUUUAUAGUUUAAGAAUCUAUUGCUAUUCAGUGUAAUUUUACGGGUUUAAGGAAGAGAACAUUUUAAGGAUUUUUACUGUAAAGCAAUAAUACCAGAAACAUUUUAAGUAUUUUAGAACAAGAUUAGCAAUAGUUUCUUAUUUUAGCAAUUUUAAAUUGUAACAUGCAUAUGAAUAUGGAAUGAGAAGAGAGGUAACUCUGUAAGUAACAUUGGACAUUCUUGCAGAGUUGCCUCCCUUCCAUUAGAUUAAAAAUUUUUUAGUCUCUUGUAAUUCUGAUAAGAAUGGCCGUACAUAAAUAACUUUUACUUUGUAAAAUUAUGUCAUUGAAUUGUUUUAUAUUAUGUAUGGAUGAGACUC